UACUGUUAAUGAUGAUUUUGUGUUAAACAAUGGGAAUCUCUCUGAAAAAGAAUGAGGAAGACUCUCUUUUAUGCUGAAACAGUA
ensembl:snoRNA SNORD79 Small nucleolar RNA SNORD79